rnacentral:rRNA from 1 species
ACGGAGGGUGCAAGCGUUGUCCGGAAUCAUUGGGCGUAAAGAGUUCGUAGGUGGUAUGUUAAGUCUGGUGUUAAAUCCCGAAGCUCAACUUCGGUCCGGCAUUGGAUACUGGCGAUCUUGAAUGUGGUAGAGGUAAGGGGAAUUCCUGGUGUAGUGGUGAAAUGCGUAGAUAUCAGGAGGAACACCGGUGGCGAAAGCGCUUUUCUGGGCCAUAAUUGACACUGAGGAACGAAAGCCAGGGUAGCAAAUGG